GAUGAACGCUGGCGGCGUGCCUAAUACAUGCAAGUCGAGCGAACGGACGAGAAGCUUGCUUCUCUGAUGUUAGCGGCGGACGGGUGAGUAACACGUGGAUAACCUACCUAUAGGACUGGGAUAACUUCGGGAAACCGGAGCUAAUACCGGAUAAUAUUUUGAACCGCAUGGUUCAAAAGUGAAAGACGGUCUUGCUGUCACUUAUAGAUGGAUCCGCGCUGCAUUAGCUAGUUGGUAAGGUAACGGCUUACCAAGGCAACGAUGCAUAGCCGACCUGAGAGGGUGAUCGGCCACACUGGAACUGAGACACGGUCCAGACUCCUACGGGAGGCAGCAGUAGGGAAUCUUCCGCAAUGGGCGAAAGCCUGACGGAGCAACGCCGCGUGAGUGAUGAAGGUCUUCGGAUAGUAAAACUCUGUUAUUAGGGAAGAACAUAUGUGUAAGUAACUGUGCACAUCUUGACGGUACCUAAUCAGAAAGCCACGGCUAACUACGUG
rnacentral:rRNA from 1 species